rnacentral:rRNA from 1 species
UGCAAGUCGAGCGGCAGCACAAGGGAGUUUACUYCUGAGGUGGCGAGCGGCGGACGGGUGAGUAAUGCCUAGGGAUCUGCCCAGUCGUGGGGGAUAACAGUUGGAAACGACUGCUAAUACCGCAUACGCCCUACGGGGGAAAGGAGGGGACCUUCGGGCCUUUCGCGAUUGGAUGAACCUAGGUGGGAUUAGCUAGUUGGUGAGGUAAUGGCUCACCAAGGCGACGAUCCCUAGCUGGUCUGAGAGGAUGAUCAGCCACACUGGAACUGAGACACGGUCCAGACUCCUACGGGAGGCAGCAGUGGGGAAUAUUGCACAAUGGGGGAAACCCUGAUGCAGCCAUGCCGCGUGUGUGAAGAAGGCCUUCGGGUUGUAAAGCACUUUCAGUAGGGAGGAAAGGUAGUGGUUUAAUACGCCAUUGCUGUGACGUUACCUACAGAAGAAGGACCGGCUAACUCCGUGCCAGCAGCCGCGGUAAUACGGAGGGUCCGAGCGUUAAUCGGAAUUACUGGGCGUAAAGCGUGCGCAGGCGGUUUGUUAAGCGAGAUGUGAAAGCCCCGGGCUCAACCUGGGAAUUGCAUUUCGAACUGGCAAACUAGAGUCUUGUAGAGGGGGGUAGAAUUCCAGGUGUAGCGGUGAAAUGCGUAGAGAUCUGGAGGAAUACCGGUGGCGAAGGCGGCCCCCUGGACAAAGACUGACGCUCAGGCACGAAAGCGUGGGAGCAAACAGGAUUAGAUACCCUGGUAGUCCACGCCGUAACGAUGUCUACUCGGAGUUUGGUGUCUUGAACACUGGGCUCUCAAGCUAACGCAUUAAGUAGACCGCCUGGGGAGUACGGCCGCAAGGUUAAAACUCAAAUGAAUUGACGGGGGCCCGCACAAGCGGUGGAGCAUGUGGUUUAAUUCGAUGCACGCGAAGAACCUUACCU